GGUGAUGUGGCUCAGGCGGUAGCGCACUCGCCUGACAUGCGUGUGGCAGGGUUUGAUCCUCAGCACCA
rnacentral:tRNA from 1 species